ACUCCUACGGGAGGCAGCAGUAGGGAAUAUUGGACAAUGGGCGAAAGCCUGAUCCAGCAAUGCCGCGUGAGUGAUGAAGGCCUUAGGGUUGUAAAGCUCUUUUACCCGGGAUGAUAAUGACAGUACCGGGAGAAUAAGCUCCGGCUAACUCCGUGCCAGCAGCCGCGGUAAUACGGAGGGAGCUAGCGUUGUUCGGAAUUACUGGGCGUAAAGCGCACGUAGGCGGCUAUUCAAGUCAGAGGUGAAAGCCCGGGGCUCAACCCCGGAACUGCCUUUGAAACUAGAUAGCUUGAAUCCAGGAGAGGUGAGUGGAAUUCCGAGUGUAGAGGUGAAAUUCGUAGAUAUUCGGAAGAACACCAGUGGCGAAGGCGGCUCACUGGACUGGUAUUGACGCUGAGGUGCGAAAGCGUGGGAGCAAACAGGAUUAGAUACCCGUGGUAGGAUAGCG
rnacentral:rRNA from 1 species